rnacentral:rRNA from 1 species
GACGAACGCUGGCGGCGUGCCUAACACAUGCCAGUCGAACGGAAAGGCCCUGCUCUUGCUGGGCGCUCGAGUGGCGAACGGGUGAGUAACACGCGAGUAUACCGUCCCUGACUUUGGGAUAACUCCAGGAAACUGGGGAUCUUACAGGAUAGGAGCUCCUGCUGCAUGGUGGGGGUUGGAAAGAUUCGGUGGUUGGGGAUGGACUCGCGGCUUAUCAGCUUGUUGGUGGGGUAGUGGCUUACCAAGCCUUAGACGGGUAGCCGGCCUGGGAGGGUGACCGGCCACAUUAGGACUGAGAUACGACCCAGACUCCUACGGGAGGCAGCAGUGGAGAAUAUGACACAGUGGGCUGGAGCCUGAUGCAGCAACGCCGCGUGCGGGAUAACGGCCUUCUGGUUGUAAACCGCUGUCGCCUGUGACGAGGCGUGAGUGACGGUAAUGAGUAAAGAAGCACCGGCUAACUACGUG